GCAAACUUGGUCAUUUAGAGGAAGUAAAAGUCGUAACAAGGUUUCCGUAGGUGAACCUGCGGAAGGAUCAUUAUUGAAAGUAAAAUGUAGUUGGUUGAGCUGGCUCCUCUGGGGUAUGUGCUCGCCUUCUGCGCUUUCUACUCAUCCACCUGUGCACUCAUGUAGACAGUAAUGCUGACAAUCUCCUCGCAAGGGGAGGAUGGGAUUCUUGUGCCUUGAAUGACGCUUGAAUCUGAUAGCUUACUUGUCUAUGUACCUAUACACACUUUUGAUAAACUUUGAAUGUAUGUAUUUAUUGGUCUUUGACCUUUAAACAAUAUACAACUUUCAGCAACGGAUCUCUUGGCUCUCGCAUCGAUGAAGAACGCAGC
rnacentral:misc_RNA from 1 species